rnacentral:rRNA from 1 species
UACGCAGGGUGCGAGCGUUGUCCGGAAUUACUGGGCGUAAAGAGCUCGUAGGUGGUUUGUCGCGUUGUUCGUGAAAACCGGGGGCUUAACCCUCGGCGUGCGGGCGAUACGGGCAGACUUGAGUACUGCAGGGGAGACUGGAAUUCCUGGUGUAGCGGUGGAAUGCGCAGAUAUCAGGAGGAACACCGGUGGCGAAGGCGGGUCUCUGGGCAGUAACUGACGCUGAGGAGCGAGAGCGUGGGGAGCGAACAGG